AACGCGAAGAACCUUACCGGGGCUUGACAUCCCGCGCUAUCCUAGGAGACUAGGUUUCCGGGCAACCGGACGCGGAGACAGGUGCUGCAUGGCUGUCGUCAGCUCGUGCCGUGAGGUGUUGGGUUAAGUCCCGCAACGAGCGCAACCCUCGUCGUGUGUUGGUCCACAAGAUCUCUCACACGAGACCGCCGAUGAGAAGUCGGAGGAAGGUGGGGAUGACGUCAAGUCAGCAUGGCCCUUACGUCCCGGGCUACACACGUGCUACAAUGCGCCGAACAACGAGCUGCGAACCCGCGAGGGUAAGCCAAUCUCUUAAAUCGGCGCUCAGUUCGGAUUGAAGGCUGCAACUCGCCUUCAUGAAGUCGGAAUCGCUAGUAAACGCAGAUCAGCUACGCUGCGUUGAAUACGUUCCCGGGCCUUGUACACACCGACUGUAC
rnacentral:rRNA from 1 species